rnacentral:rRNA from 1 species
UACGUAGGGGGCAAGCGUUGUCCGGAUUUAUUGGGCGUAAAGAGCGUGUAGGCGGCCAGACAGGUCAGCUGUGAAAACUCGAGGCUCAACCUCGAGACGUCGGUUGAAACCGUCUGGCUAGAGUCCGGAAGAGGAGAGUGGAAUUCCCGGUGUAGCGGUGAAAUGCGCAGAUAUCGGGGAAGAACACCCGUGGCGAAGGCGGCUCUCUGGGACGGUACUGACGCUGAGACGCGGAAAAGCGUGGGGGAGCGAACAGG